GAUGAACGCUGGCGGCGUGCUUAACACAUGCAAGUCGAACGGAUAUAUACCGAAACCUAGUGAAGUAUAUGUUAGUGGCGGACGGGUGAGUAACGCGUGGACAACCUGCCGUGCACAGGGGGAUAACACUUAGAAAUAGGUGCUAAUACCGCAUAAGCGCACAGUUUCGCAUGAGACAGUGUGAAAAGCCUGGAAGCGAUUCCCGGCGGUGCAUGAUGGAUCCGCGUCCGAUUAGCUAGUUGGCGGGGUAAAGGCCCACCAAGGCAGCGAUCGGUAGCCGGCCUGAGAGGGUGGACGGCCACAUUGGGACUGAGACACGGCCCAA
rnacentral:rRNA from 1 species